rnacentral:misc_RNA from 1 species
CAGUGUUCCCUGCCCUCCGGGGUAGGAUCGCCACCCGUGGUUACUUAUACGUGUUGCUUUGGCGGGCCUCGCGGCCUAGCCGCGCCCCGGCUCCGGCGGGGGAGCGCCCGCCAGAGGAUCUCCCAAACCUGAUUAUUAGUGUCGUCUGAGUACUAUAUAAUAGUUA